AUGUCAGCUCAGCUGGGUUGGAUUCUUUUGGAAGCUACAUUGUUCCUCAGGGAGAGCUGCGUGCAGGUGAUGAGAAAGGAACCAAUUGAACCAAACUUACUUUUUCUCUUCUGGCACUCAGAUGAUUUUUAUUUUGGGGAAAGACUAAUCCAAGGUGGGUCCAAUUGGAGUGGCUGCUCCUCUAGGAUUCUGGGAGAUGAAGACGGGUGGAGAGAGUGAGAACCCAUGUGGAAGAGUAGAUGGUGGCAGAUGGGACAAGGAAGCAAGCUGGCCAAACUUCUGGGGACUGGAAGAGAAGAUGGGUGGACAGGACCUUGGCACGGACCUGACACAUGGCCCCUGGGGCUUCAUGGCUAAUAAGACUGGCUGCAUUCCCCUCCACUGAGGUAAGCAAAUUAGUUCUCUUCUAUUCGCCUUUGGAAAAAAGAACUCUCACUCUUACCAUUUUACAGAUGGAAAACAAGGCUUGAGAAGUAUCAAGAAUUUUUAGGAGAGCCAAAAAGAGCUGCACUUUGCUGCAAGGCCUUCUGCUUUGGGCCACACCGUUCUGUCUGAAACCAGAGAAGCGUGCUGGCCUGGCAAGGCCGGUUUGACCCAGGAGGUCUCUGGAGGCUUAGCCGGGGGGUCUGACACCUUACGGGGCCGUGAGGCCAGCCUGCAGGCCUUCAGUGUGUGGUCACUCCGUGAAGUUAUAACUGUUCUUUAUCCCCUGUUCAGGCACAGGAGAAGACAUUCUGACCCCAAGUGUGUCUUGUCAGAUCCCAGCUGUACCAGGUGGGCCCUCCAGCAAGAAGUCGCAGCUCAGCACUGCUAGUCAUACCCAAAUUUGGGGAUUUUGCUUUGGAAAGAAGCAUGGGAGGCAACGACUACAGCAGACUUCACAAAACCUUUCCUCGGAACACCUGUGCGGCAGCCAGCAUGGAAGUACCCAGAAAAACCGCUCGGACCUUGGCUUCAGGGGAACAAUUUACACAGUGAUUUGCAUUUUUAAAACGCUCCAGUUACUCGAUACAAAUGUGUCUUAACUACAGACUCAUUUUCAAAUUUUACAUAAAUCCUGAACUAGUUAAAAAAUCAUAAAACCCCUUCAAGCAGCAGUCAGUAGACUGUCCAGUGACGGCAGGAAAUGAGCUGUAUUGUUGAGGAACAGAUGGUUUACAUUAUACAAACCCUUUAGGCUAAACUUGUUUAGGUCUGGCAUAUUGUAAAUUAUAUUUUAGUAAUGAAAGUGAAAUGACCUCGGCUUGACCUCAAGUGGGGUUUGUCUGUUUGAACCAAUGUAGUGGAAAACUAUGAAAGAAAAUGAAGUCAUAAAGUUUUGGCAGUUCAAUUUUGGCUCAUUUCAAGUUAAGGGGUUAUAAAUCUGUUUAGUUUUUGUUUGACAAGUAUUUGUCAUACAGGGAUGUACAAAAUGUAAAGAAGUGUAAAAUACACAUGAGGCGUGGUGCCAAAGUAAACGAAGUACAAAGGAAAACUGGAAUGAAUAGGGUCCUGGGCUCCUAUCUCUUUAUCACUCCCUCCAUUAGCUGAAUGACAAGAUGGGCUCCGUUUAGGGUAUGCUGUAAGGCAAUUAAGUACCUUAAAACCGAAACAGGCUUUCAGUUUAAAUGUUAACAUUUUUACUUCUCAAAGUAAACACACAUCUGCCUCAGUGAGGUUUUAAAAAUUAUAUAAUUUGGGGGCAGGGAGAAAAAUCAGAGUUGAUAUGGAAGUUGAUACGUGAUUCUAAACUCCAAAUCUGCCUCUUCCCUUAGACAGUUUUGAAGAGCAACUGUAUUAGAGUUUACGUGAACUCUUCACAGAAGGAAAAUGAAGGGAGAACAUUGUAGAUGACGGUCACUUCGCUGGGAGUCAGAUGUGGCUAUUGUCGUCCGCUGUCUACGCUGCUGAUGGAGGCCAGGCGGAUGCUGGUGGCUUCCUUCACCUGAGACACAUUACUACAUGGGGACAUGGGAUCCUUUUAGCUCUAUUAUCUUUAGAUAUGAAAGCAAGGGACCAUGAGUGGAGUUGUUUUUUGUUUGUUUGUUUGUUUGUUUUAAAUUGUCAUGAGGUAGAGGCAGUUGGAUAAGGAGGACAGACUCAAUGACUUUAUCUCCUUCCACCUUUGGGAAGUUAUACCUUAGGUGAAAAUCUAUUUGAAAUGAUUCCUCUGGGUGACAUAGCUCACAGCUAACCUGCCAUUUCCUGCUCGCUUGACAGAAGGGACUGCUGUAGGAGAGGAGGUAAAGAUAUUGUGAUGGCUCGCAUUUGUGUGCAGCAUGGAUCCAUCGAUUUGUGACUUUUUGCUUCUAACCUGAGCAGGGUAUGAAUGCCUACGUUCGAGCCCCACUUAAAGUUGGGCACCACGAAAAAGUUGAGUGACAUGAGGUGGAGGGGAACAGAUCCCAGGGUGGUUCCCCCAGACAGGAAGGUGGCUCCAACAGCA
ensembl:lincRNA